AUUGAACGCUGGCGGCAUGCCUUACACAUGCAAGUCGAACGGCAGCAUGAUCUAGCUUGCUAGAUUGAUGGCGAGUGGCGCACGGGUGAGUAAUACAUCGGAACGUGCCCUGUAGUGGGGGAUAACUAGUCGAAAGAUUACCUAAUACCGCAUACGACCUGAGGGUGAAAGUGGGGGACCGCAAGGCCUUAUGCUUUAGGAUCGGCCGAUGUCUGAUUAGCUAGUUGGUGAGGUAAAGGCUCACCAAGGCGACGAUCAGUAGCUGGUCUGAGAGGACGAUCAGCCACACUGGAACUGAGACACGGCCCAGACUCCUACGGGAGGCAGCAGUGGGGAAUUUUGGACAAAGGGCGAAAGCCUGAUCCAGCAAUGCCGCGUGUGUGAAGAAGGCCUUCGGGUUGUAAAGCACUUUUGUCCGGAAAGAAAUAGCUCUGGUUAAUACCUGGGGUCCAUGACGGUACCGGAAGAAUAAGGACCGGCUAACUACGUG
rnacentral:rRNA from 1 species